GCUCCACAUUAGCAGCACGUAAAUAUUGGGUGGUAUGAUAUGGAGCCCCAGUGUUAUUGUGCUGCUUAAGUGUGGC
rnacentral:pre_miRNA from 1 species